CUGGCGGCGUGCCUAACACAUGCAAGUCGAGCGAGGAGAUCCUCGGGAUGAUCCUAGCGGCGGACGGGUGAGUAACACGUGGGCAACCUGCCUCAUAGAGAGGAAUAGCCUUCCGAAAGGGAGAUUAAUACCUCAUAACAUUGCAGUUUCGCAUGGAACAGCAAUUAAAGGAGCAAUCCGCUAUGAGAUGGGCCCGCGGCGCAUUAGCUAGUUGGUGAGGUAACGGCUCACCAAGGCGACGAUGCGUAGCCGACCUGAGAGGGUGAUCGGCCACAUUGGGACUGAGACACGGCCCAGACUCCUACGGGAGGCAGCAGUGGGGAAUAUUGCACAAUGGGGGAAACCCUGAUGCAAGCAACGCCGCGUGAGUGAUGACGGCCUUCGGGUUGUAAAGCUCUGUCUUCAGGGACGAUAAUGACGGUACCUGAGGAGGAAGCCACGGCUAACUACGUGCCAGCCGCUGC
rnacentral:rRNA from 1 species